AUACGUAGGACGCGAGCGUUAUCCGGAUUCAUUGGGUUUAAAGGGUGCGCAGGCGGCCGUGCAAGUCAGCGGUGAAAGCCCGGGGCUCAACCCCGGAAGUGCCGUUGAUACUGCGUGGCUGGAAUGCGGUCGAGGCGGGCGGAACGUGGCGUGUUGCGGUGAAAUGCGUAGAUAUGCCACAGAACGCCGAUGGCGGAGGCGGCUCGCCAGGCCUGCAUUGACGCUCGGGCACGAAAGCGUGGGGAUCGAACAGGAUUAGAUACCCUGGUAGUCCACGCCGUAAACGAUGGGCGCUCGUCGUCGGCGACAGACAGUCGGCGGCCAAGCGAAAGCGAUAAGCGCCCCACCUGGGGAGUACGGUCGCAAGGCUGAAACUCAAAUGAAUUGACGGGG
rnacentral:rRNA from 1 species